UUCAUCAGAUCUUAAGUAGAGGCUGGUGUGUGAUUUAUUUCUGCUUUGUCCAGGGAGACCUGACCUGGCGCGGCCCAUCUUGUUGCUUAGGGAGAGGUACAACACUUAUCGACUCCAGCUCCAGGCCACUACCUCAGCAGGUCAGGGCUGCUGCCCAGGGUGAGGGGAGGAGGAGGGCAGGAAAUUGCUUUUGGUUAAGGGCAAGAAGAGCUGCAGGCCACCCUUCCCAUUAUUCUGGAUUAGGUCCCAAUUCCACCCCCCAUCCCCAGGGGGUGGUGGGUGGGAGGAGAUUCACUUUUUUAUAUAGCUCUUUGGGAGGUGUGUGCAGGAAACAGAUGUAUUCAUCAAGCUUGCGCUUAUGGGUUCAAGGUUUUUUCAGUUUGCACACCACGUGGAGCUUAGUCUUCCUUUUUUUUUUUUUUUUUUUAAGAUAGGAAGAAAGAACACAAAAGAGGAAACUGCCCUCCAUAGUAAAACUGGGGAACUUGGAGGGUCUUAAAACCACGGGGAGCAACUUUUGCUUGAAGGACUUAAUUCUUUGCUGAUUUUAAUUUGAAAAACUGGAAAGGAGACUCUUAGUGGCUUGGGACAAUCCAACACUGAGGACAAGUCAUCUCACUUUACAUAGUCUUUAAACUGAAGCCUUAGGGGGGAAGGAAUGCUCUUUUGGGGUAUGGGUCUUUCAAGUAAUCUGUGGUGCAAACCAGCUCUGAAAAUGUAUUACACGGGGUCAAGAUGAGUCAGUGUUAGUUUCCCUUUAAACAUUCUGAAUAGUAGGCUGACAAAAUAGCUCACUUGGGUGAUCCACUGCUUUGCCAUGUAUAUGACCCAAAUUCAAGCCUGGCCCCCACCACAUUGAAGGAAGUUUUGGCUCUUUCAUUCUCUCUCUUUCUUUCUUUCUUUCUUUCUUUCUUUCUUUCUUUCUUUCUUUCUUUUUAUUUAUUUAUUUCCUUUUUGUUGCCCUUAUUGUUUUUAUUGUUGUUAUAGCUAUUAUUGUUGUUGAUGUCAUCAUUGUUGGAUAGGACAGAGAGAAAUGGAGAGAGGAGGGGAAGAUAGAGAGGGGGAAAGAAAGACACCUGCAAACCUGCUUCACCGCCUGUGAAGCGACGCCCCUGUAGGUGGGGAGCCGGGGGCUUGAACCAGGAUCCUUACUCGGUCCUUGCACUUUGCGCCAGGUGCGCUUACCCCGCUGUGCUUCGGCCCAACUCCCUCAUUCUCUCUCCUUCUCCUUUUUCUCCUCCUCCGCCUCUCCUCCUCCCCCACUUCCUCCGCCUUCUCUUUCUUUUUAAAAGUCUGAAUAGUAAGGGUUGGAAAUAGCUCUACAUGGGAACACCACAGAUGGAGAUAAAAAGAAUGAUGAAGCUGACCCCAGAGCAGUGGAAUCACAUAAGUGCCCUGCAUUUCUUCUCUGCAAGUGGAAUGCAUUGGGGUUGCUGGAUCCACCACUAAAUCCCAUGGCUCUGACAUGCCAGGAGCUGCUAAAUGACCUAGAGGAAAUCCUAUACUUCUCAAACAUCAGCAAAUGAAAAAUAAGAGGUUUAUCACACUAUGGGAAAGUACAGAUCAUGGGCAAAUGCCAUUGUGUUGUUCUCAGAAAAAGCUAGGCCUGAGGCUUUGAAAAUUCACCUUGGGGUUAAACACAUCUGUGGAAAGAAAGCCUGGCAUAAAGG